rfam:Jejuia pallidilutea DNA, contig: NODE_5_1/1, strain: JCM 19538.
AUUUAGUUAGCAGAUAAGGUGCGUUAGGGAUUGAAGUGGCAUCCUUUUUAAAGUUUAGUAAACUGAUGAAUUGAGUUUGCACCUUGUUUUUUCAAGACUGCGUUGUCUUUAAAUACUUGCAAUAACGCCUUUAAAAAGAUAUAACGGAAAGCCCGACCCGAC